CACGUAGGGUGCGAGCGUUGUCCGGAAUUAUUGGGCGUAAAGAGCUCGUAGGCGGCUUGUUGCGUCGGAUGUGAAAAGCCCCGGGGCUUAACUCCGGGUCUGCAUUCGAUACGGGCAGGCUAGAGUUCGGUAGGGGAGAUCGGAAUUCCUGGUGUAGCGGUGAAAUGCGCAGAUAUCAGGAGGAACACCGGUGGCGAAGGCGGAUCUCUGGGCCGAUACUGACGCUGAGGAGCGAAAGCGUGGGGAGCGAACAGG
rnacentral:rRNA from 1 species